UCCUAGCCCUAAACGAUGUUCACUAGGUGUUAAAGGUAUCGACCCCUUUAGUGCCGCAGCUAACGCGUUAAGUGAACCGCCUGGGAAUUACGACCGCAAGGUUAAAACUCAAAAGAAUUGACGGGGGCCCGCACAAGCGGUGGAGCAUGUGGUUUAAUUCGAUGCUACGCGAAUAACCUUACCUGGGUUUGACAUGCUGGUAGUAAGAACCCGAAAGGGGGAUGAUCCAGGUUU
rnacentral:rRNA from 1 species